UCAAUAAGCGGAGGAAAAGAAACUAACAAGGAUUCCCCUAGUAGCGGCGAGCGAAGCGGGAAGAGCUCAAAUUUAUAAUCUGGCACUUUCAGUGUCCGAGUUGUAAUCUCUAGAAGUGUUUUCCGCGUUGGACCGCACACAAGUCUGUUGGAAUACAGCGGCACAGUGGUGACACCCCCGUACACGGUGCGGACGCCCAGCGCUUUGUGAUACACUUUCGAAGAGUCGAGUUGUUUGGGAAUGCAGCUCAAAUUGGGUGGUAAAUUCCAUCUAAAGCUAAAUAUUGGCGAGAGACCGAUAGCGAACAAGUACCGUGAGGGAAAGAUGAAAAGCACUUUGGAAAGAGAGUUAACAGUACGUGAAAUUGUUGGAAGGGAAACGCUUGAAGUCAGACUUGCUUGCCGGAGCUUGCUUCGGUUUGCAGGCCAGCAUCAGUUUUCCGGGGUGGAUAAUGGCGGUUAGAAGGUAGCAGCUUCAGCUGUGUUAUAGCUUUCCGCUGGAUACAUCCUGGGGGACUGAGGAACGCAGCGUGCUUUUAGCGGGGGUUUCGACCUCUUCACGCUUAGGAUGCUGGUGUAAUGGCUUUAAACGACCCGUCUUGAAACA
rnacentral:rRNA from 1 species